CUACGGGAGGCACCAGUGAGGAAUAUUGCACAAUGGGGGGGAACCCUGAUGCAGCAACGCCGCGUGGAGGAUGACGCAUUUCGGUGUGUAAACUCCUUUUAUAUGUCAAGAAAAUGACGGUAGCAUAUGAAUAAGCACCGGCUAACUCCGUGCCAGCAGCCGCGGUAAUACGGAGGGUGCAAGCGUUACUCGGAAUCACUGGGCGUAAAGGACGCGUAGGCGGGUUGGAAAGUCAGGUGUGAAAUCCUACAGCUUAGCUGUAGAACUGCACUUGAAACUUCUAAUCUAGAGUAUGGGAGGGGGAGAUGGAAUUAGUGGUGUAGGGGUAAAAUCCGUAGAUAUCACUAGGAAUACCUAAAGCGAAGGCGAUCUCCUGGAACAUUACUGACGCUAAGGCGUGAAAGCGUGGGGAGCAAACAGGAUUAGAUACCCGUGUAGUC
rnacentral:rRNA from 1 species